rnacentral:rRNA from 1 species
GACGAACCUUGCUAACGUUAUUCGGAAUUACUGGGCUUAAAGGGUGCGUAGGCGGUGCGGAAAGUCGGGUGUGAAAUCCCUCAGCUCAACUGAGGAAUUGCGCCCGAAACUACCGUGCUAGAGGAAGAUAGAGGUGAGCGGAACUCAGGGUGGAGCGGUGAAAUGCGUUGAUAUCCUGAGGAACACCGGUGGCGAAAGCGGCUCACUGGGUCUUAUCUGACGCUGAGGCACGAAAGCUAGGGUAGCGAACGGG